AGUCGUGUUGCUUGAUAGUGCAGCACUAAGUGGGUGGUAAACUCCAUCUAAAACUAAAUAUAACCAUGAGACCGAUAGUAAACAAGUACCGUGAGGGAAAGUUGAAAAGAACUCUGAAUAGAGAGUUAAAUAGUACGUGAAACUGCUUAGAGGUUAAGCCCGAUGAACCUGAAUAUCCAUUAUGGAAAAUUCAUCAUUAUGAUUUUAAUAUUUAUAAUAUUAUGAUUAUGGUGUGCAUUUUUUCUAUAAAGGACAUUGUAAUCUAUUAAUAUAGAUUUAUUUAUCAUAAGAUCGUUAGCGUAAGUUUAUUCAAAUUAUUUUGCUUGCAUUUUAAUAUCGAAUAAAUGCUUUUGAUUUGAUAAAGUGUUGAUAGAUUUAUUAUAUACAGUGCUUGAAUAUUUAUAUUUUAUAAUAGCAUAUUAAUCAAUGAUUUUUAUGUUCAUUAUAUGCACUUGUAUGAUUAACAAUGCGAAAGAUUCAGGAUACCUUCGGGACCCGUCUUGAAACACGGACCAAGGAGUCUAACAUAUUUGCAAGUUAUUGGGAAUAAAAACCUAAUAGCGAAAUUAACAUAACUUUAUUUAAUGGGAUUAGUUUUUAGUUCUAUUUAUAGUCUAUUAAUUCA
rnacentral:rRNA from 1 species